UACAAAUUCUCAGGUUCUGCUCCUGAUCCGCGGAAUCCUCUGACCCAGGGGAUGAGAGCCCAGCAAUCUGUGUCUUAAAUCCUCCUUUGAAUCCUCCCUUAAAUCCUCCAGGUGAUUCUGACGCGCUGCUAGAACGUAACGGCAGUAGUGACGUAGGGAGGUGUUCGACUGGUUGUACAUUUUAGUUCUGAAUACUCAAUUUUGUCAAGCAAUGUUAAAUCAGAUGUUUUGUAAGGUGACAGUUCUAACUUUGAAAGAAGCCAUGAUGCUCUGACGUUUAACUCUGUUCGUGAAAUGUACUUUUUUUUUGAGGCAGAUUUGAACAAGGGAAGUGGGUAGAAAUAACUAAAUGGUUGAAAAAAUAAAGUGAAUGAAAUAAUCUGGAAUGAAUUCACAUGGGGAGGUGAAAAGUGAAAAGAAAAGCAGUUGAUUCCUACUUUAUUUCUGUAAAUAGUGAGAGUGCCUUGUCAGAAGGGCUCACUUGGGACAGGAAGAAGUCAUUUUCCAAAGUGACAAGCGGGGCUGUGUGUUUUUCAUUCAGAACUUCUUGAAAAUCUGUUACAAUAGGUCCAAUGCUGUGAUAGAUGGUGGGGUUCAGAGAUGACCAACACACUCCAUGAUGCCGAGGAGGCCGCAGCGUAGCUGGAGAAGCUGAUUAAUAAAUCAGUAAUUAUAAAUCAGUGUGAGUGUUAAUGCAAAGUUUGGGCAUAUAGAGGAGGGAUUUCCAACUAAAACUGGAUGAAAAUGAGUCACUGAGGGUCACCUGGACAUGAUCACACGCCAUUGCAGCAUUCAGGGGAGAGUAGACCAGCCAGGCAACCACGAGAAGGGAUGUAGGGGAUAGCCAGUGUGCCCCAAGAAGGCAAUAAUGAAUGACUUUUGGGCCACGAGGAUACUUCAGCGGGCAAAACAGACAAAAAUUUCUGUUUGUGGAGUUUCAUUCUAGCAGAGGGAUACAGACAAAAAAGAUAUAACUCCUGAUCAACCGUGAGUGGACUGAUAAAAUCAAAUUUCUGAAGCCUAAAGUUUGAGGACUGGACCUUUGUCAACAAAUGUGUGUUGAAUAAGUAAACCUAUGAGGUGCAGUGACUCUGGAAAGCUCAUCCGGAAAUGUU
rnacentral:lncRNA from 1 species